GACGAACGCUGGCGGCGUGCUUAACACAUGCAAGUCGAACGGAAAGGCCUGCUUUCCCUUGUGGAUUGCGGGUACUCGAGUGGCGAACGGGUGAGUAACACGUGAGUGAUCUGCCCCCAACUGGGGUAUAAGCCUGGGAAACUGGGUCUAAUUUCCGAUAGGACUGCAGGGUGGUGCCUGUGGUGGAAAACGAUUUUCUAGUGGUUGGGGAUGAGCUGGCGGCCUAUCAGCUUGUUGGUGGGGUAAUGGCCUACCAAGGCGGCGACGGGUAGCCGGCCUGAGAGGGUGGACGGCCACAUUGGGACUGGGAUACGGCCCAGACUCCUACGGGAGGCAGCAGUGGGGAAUAUUGCACAAUGGGCGGAAGCCUGAUGCAGCGACGCCGCGUGGGGGAUGACGGCCUCCGGGUUGUAAACUGCUUUCGAACGAGAGGAAGCCACCUGGUUGGAAGGGUGGUGACGGUAGUGGUAGAAGAAGCACCGGCUAACUACGUG
rnacentral:rRNA from 1 species